ACUCCGGGAAACCGGGGCUAAUACCGGAUGGUUGUCUGAACCGCAUGGUUCAGACAUAAAAGGUGGCUUCGGCUACCACUUACAGAUGGACCCGCGGCGCAUUAGCUAGUUGGUGAGGUAACGGCUCACCAAGGCGACGAUGCGUAGCCGACCUGAGAGGGUGAUCGGCCACACUGGGACUGAGACACGGCCCAGACUCCUACGGGAGGCAGCAGUAGGGAAUCUUCCGCAAUGGACGAAAGUCUGACGGAGCAACGCCGCGUGAGUGAUGAAGGUUUUCGGAUCGUAAAGCUCUGUUGUUAGGGAAGAACAAGUGCCGUUCAAAUAGGGCGGCACCUUGACGGUACCUAACCAGAAAGCCACGGCUAACUACGUGCCAGCAGCCGCGGUAAUACGUAGGUGGCAAGCGUUGUCCGGAAUUAUUGGGCGUAAAGGGCUCGCAGGCGGUUUCUUAAGUCUGAUGUGAAAGCCCCCGGCUCAACCGGGGAGGGUCAUUGGAAACUGGGGAACUUGAGUGCAGAAGAGGAGAGNGGAAUUCCACGUGUAGCGGUGAAAUGCGUAGAGAUGUGGAGGAACACCAGUGGCGAAGGCGACUCUCUGGUCUGUAACUGACGCUGAGGAGCGAAAGCGUGGGGAGCGAACAGGAUUAGAUACCCUGGUAGUCCACGCCGUAAACGAUGAGUGCUAAGUGUUAGGGGGUUUCCGCCCCUUAGUGCUGCAGCUAACGCAUUAAGCACUCCGCCUGGGGAGUACGGUCGCAAGACUGAAACUCAAAGGAAUUGACGGGGGCCCGCACAAGCGGUGGAGCAUGUGGUUUAAUUCGAAGCAACGCGAAGAACCUUACCAGGUCUUGACAUCCUCUGACAAUCCUAGAGAUAGGACGUCCCCUUCGGGGGCAGAGUGACAGGUGGUGCAUGGUUGUCGUCAGCUCGUGUCGUGAGAUGUUGGGUUAAGUCCCGCAACGAGCGCAACCCUUGAUCUUAGUUGCCAGCAUUCAGUUGGGCACUCUAAGGUGACUGCCGGUGACAAACCGGAGGAAGGUGGGGAUGACGUCAAAUCAUCAUGCCCCUUAUGACCUGGGCUACACACGUGCUACAAUGGACAGAACAAAGGGCAGCGAAACCGCGAGGUUAAGCCAAUCCCACAAAUCUGUUCUCAGUUCGGAUCGCAGUCUGCAACUCGACUGCG
rnacentral:rRNA from 1 species